GCACUGCUGACGAGUCCCAAAAUAGGACGAAACGGCCGUCCAGUUC
rnacentral:hammerhead_ribozyme from 1 species